rnacentral:rRNA from 1 species
CUCAACGGAUAAAAGCUACCCCGGGGAUAACAGGCUUAUCUCCCCCAAGAGUUCACAUCGACGGGGAGGUUUGGCACCUCGAUGUCGGCUCAUCGCAUCCUGGGGCUGUAGUCGGUCCCAAGGGUUGGGCUGUUCGCCCAUUAAAGCGGUACGCGAGCUGGGUUCAGAACGUCGUGAGACAGUUCGGUCCCUAUCCGUCGUGGGCGUAGGAAAUUUGAGAGGAGCUGUCCUUAGUACGAGAGGACCGGGAUGGACAUACCUCUGGUGUACCAGUUGUCGUGCCAACGGCAUAGCUGGGUAGCUAUGUGUGGACGGGAUAAGUGCUGAAAGCAUCUAAGCAUGAAGCCCCCCUCAAGAUGAGAUUUCCCAACUUCGGUUAUAAGAUCCCUCAAAGAUGAUGAGGUUAAUAGGUUCGAGGUGGAAGCAUGGUGACAUGUGGAGCUGACGAAUACUAAUCGAUCGAAGACUUAAUCAAAA